AGAGUGGCGGCUGGUUAGAAUUUUAACCACCCUUCAGCCUUAGCUCUUGGUCUAUUAGGCACACAUGGUGAAAAGUUAUGGAAAACCACCCAAGGUACUUAUUAGUUUUUCGUCUAAUUGGGAUUUGUAACUCAGCUUUUGAUCGAAGUAAAGGAUCGUAACGAGUUAUUACUGUAUUUACAACUUUUUGGCCGAGAGGGAAAUGGAAAAAAAGAGAUCAUUUAAAAUGGCAUUGUCAAAAACUUGUUAAAAAGGC
rnacentral:misc_RNA from 1 species